CACCCCAUGGAGGGAACCGGACCACUGAAUAACACCUAAAACACACUAAGACCGGGGAAGCGUACAGUUGUGCGGGCUCUGCAAAACGGAGCAAACACUUUCCUAUCACUUACAUUGUUAAUUUACUUAAUCCUUAGAACUCUGUGAAGUGGGUAUAGUUAACAUUGCCAUUUUAUAGAUGAGAAAACUGAGGCACAGAAAAAUCUGCCCAAGAUCACAUAGUCUGGCUCUGUGCUCUUAAUUUCCUUUCUACUUAAAGCACUGAGCAGCUCCAAAAUAAUAAUAAUGGUAAUAGAUAACAUUUCAAUCAUAGCUGAUUAGCCAUAUGUGGUGCUCACAUCUUGUCCUCCCUCCACCUGUGACACAGAAACCUCAAUCCCUUCUACUCUGGUGAAGGGAGAGAAUAUGACUGAGAAGAAGACUAUGACUAACUUUCAAACAAAGGAGAAGGGAUUCCUAAGAUCUUUGUCAACACUGCUGGUCUAGGCUGAAUUUAAAAAUCUGUAAACAUUUUUGAUAAAAUAAUGUGUCCAAAACAACCACCCAGGGGUUGAACACGCAACCUCAUGGUUCCUAGUCGGAUCCGUUUCUGCUGCGCCACGACGGGAACUCCGCACUAAGAACUAUUAAAACUGCAUUAAAAAUAAAGUGAAAUAAAAUAAAAUAAUAAAAUAAAAUAAAGGCUCUUUAAGCCUAUUUUACAGCAACCCAGGCAGCCAAGGCUUGAGAGUCCCUAGGGCCCAGCAAGGAGGGAAACACUGUGAGGUGAUCCCCCCAUUCUCAGCCACAUUUCCUCCUCAAAGCAUUGCUGAUUUGUCUGGGAGUAUAGAAACCAGAGAGAAAUCCUAGAGCGUUCAACAGCCUGACUGGGCUGGAGAUACAAAUUUUGGAGGUCGUCUAUCAGGGCAGCUAGGGCUAAGAUCCCAGAAGAAAGGCAAUCACAGGAAAAGGAGUCAAACACUCCACAUACUGUUUUCCCUCAGGAUAGUAUGCUGAUUCUUAACCUAUACAUGCAAGCAGCAAGAAGCCAGGAAAUCAAGUAGAAAGCAGUUGUUAAGAG
rnacentral:lncRNA from 1 species